UUUCCGCACUGUUGUGAACAGCCUUACGUCUGCACAAACACACCGUCACUCCAAUGAUAAUGCUGAUGACCAGGAGUGCUCCUACUGCUAUUAAAGCAUAGAAGCCAAGCCCAUACUCUAAAAUAGGAGCAAAAGGAGAAAAAUAUGAUGAGGAAGAGGCUGAAACUGUAUAUAACAUAAAUCAAACAUCAUUACAAACGGCUGGAAAUGCACAAGAAACCCACCAGAGAGCACAGGAAGUUAACGUUUCAGGCAGUGGCAGAGGUUGCGGGCUUGGUAGGUGUUGACAGAAGAGCCUUCAAGAAUUACUGCAGUGCAUCUUGUAGCUGAUACACACUGCAGCAGCGGUGAAGGGAGUUUCCAGCAUCUCCAAAUGAGGCUUUCAAAUCAGCAAUUUCACUUCGUUAGAUACAGAGUGUACUUGAAGGAUGUGGUCCCUCAUAAACCUGGACUACUGUUUCAAAUAUAAAAGUGCUUACCUGGUGUUUUAAGAUCUGUACAUCUGCUUUGAGAUUUUGGGCCAUUUUUAAAUGGAGAUGUAAUGUGGAUUUGAACAGAAAAGCAGUAAUUGAUUCCCUUGUCAAUCUUAAUUAGUAUUGUUUGAUUGUUGUUAGUUUGAGUUUUCUGUAGAAACAAAGUUAUUUAAAAAUUACUAUUUUUAAUCAGGAAUGCAUUCAGUGAGGAUUAUCUAAAUAGAAAAUACAAAUUUGCCACAAUGAUUGAACAAACCUGACCACUUGUGCCAUCUUUCCAGUAAAACACCUUGUACUUGAGAUUUGUCCCGUAGAUAUCACGCAGUGCUUUUGAAGUCAUAUUAGGAAACUUGAUGCCAGUAAGUGGAUCUUCUAUUAACACUUUGACCUCAUCUUUACUUUUUUUAAAAAUUUUAAAACUUGCUUCUCCAAUGUCAGCUAGAAUAUUUAAAAAAAUCAGCAUAUUAAACAAACAUAUACCAUAUCUAGCAAAAAUAUUCUUUGAUUGCUUUUACUCUGCAACAUAAUGGGGAGAAAGUGAGGACUGCAGAUACUGGAAAUCAGACUCGAAGAGUGUGGCACUGGAAAAAACACAGCCAGUCAGGCAGCAUCCAAGAAACAGGAGAGUCAACGUUAUCUAACAGUCCGAUUUGUUAGCCUGCAUUGAGCAGUUAUCAGUGAAAGGACAGUGUUAGCCAGUAACCUCAAAAGGAACCAGCCUACAGUGAUUUAACCUGAUCCAGAGCAAUCCUUUUGCUUAUUCUGAAAUGACAGUGGAAUUCAGUAAUGAGAUUAGAUUCCUUACAGCGUGGAAACAGGCCAUUUGGCCCAACCAGUCCACACCGACUCUCAGAAGAGUAACCCAUCUAGACCCAUUUCCCUUUGACUAAUGUACCUAACACUAUGAGUAAUUUAGCAUGGCCAAUUUACCUAACCUGCACAUCUUUGGUGCUGUGAGAGGAAACCGGAGCAAACCCACGCAGACAUGGGAGAAUGUGCAAAUUCCACACAGUCUCCCCAUGCUGGAAUCGAACCUGGGACCCUGGUGCUGUGAGGCAGCAGUGCUAACCACUGAGCCACCGUGCCGCCUUUUUAAAGAAGAAUGAGGAGUGGAUAUUGCAAACAUGUACAUUGAUAUUUCCCUUUGAAAAAUACUGUGGAACACACAUGUAA